AUACGUAGGUGACAAGCGUUAUCCGGAUUUACUGGGCGUAAAGGGCGUGUAGGCGGUCUUGCAAGUCAGAAGUGAAAUUCCUGAGAUCAACUCGGGCGCUGCUUCUGAAACUGCAGGACUUGAGUGCUGGAGGGGAUAGCGGAAUUCCUAGUGGAGCGGUAAAAUGCGCAGAUAUUAGGAAGAACACCGGUGGCGAAGGCGGCUAUCUGGACAGUAACUGACGCUGAGGCGCGAAAGCGUGGGGAGCAAACAGGAUUAGAUACCCUGGUAGUCCACGCUGUAAACGAUGAUUACUAGGUGUUGGGGACCUAUAGGUCUUCGGUGCCGCAGCAAACGCAAUAAGUAAUCCACCUGGGGAGUACGUUCGCAAGAAUGAAACUCAAAGGAAUUGGCGGGG
rnacentral:rRNA from 1 species